AACCUUAUGGACCUGCGGGCGUAUACCUGCGGAAGGAUCAUUACCGAGUUUACAACUCCCAAACCCCUGUGAACAUACCUAUACGUUGCCUCGGCGGAUCAGCCCGCGCCCUGUAAAAAGGGACGGCCCGCCCGAGGACCCUAAACUCUGUUUUUAGUGGAACUUCUGAGUAAAACAAACAAAUAAAUCAAAACUUUUAGCAACGGAUCU
rnacentral:misc_RNA from 1 species